ensembl:lncRNA
AUUAUUGUAGCGGAAAAAGGAAUAAACCUGAUUUAAAAACUGUCUAUUGUUAGGUCGUGGCGACAAAUAAAUGUCCUCUCAUAUCCGUCAUUGGUAGAGGUUAGCAUUUUUAUUCUCUCUCUCUUGCUGAAGAACAUACAACAGUGUUUGCAAUUAAAGGGUUCAACAUGAAAUAUGAUUGCAGGACCACAGGGGUUCAGGGGGAGCAAGGUUCAAGCUAAGCAUCUUGAUAUUUCCAACAUUAAUAAAUAUUACAGGGGUACGUACUGUAUGGACCUCUGUCAAUCUCCUAGAGAGAUCCACCACUCAGAGGGCCCUUGCUUGUGGAGAGUCAGGAACAUGAUUGGCUGAGCAGUUGUGGGAGUUGUCAGGCAGUGGCAAUCCUACAGAGAUCAAGGAGCAGAGGAUAUUUCCAACAAAAUAAAAUGUUUGUAUGACAAAUGGGUCUGGAGAAUUGAGCAGUUGGAGGAGAGGAGAUGCAUCUGCAGUAAUGCCAGAUGCCAUUUCAGCAGUAACUGACGGGGGACUCUUUCUCAGCUGGGUAGAGGUGACUGACACUGUGACUCUUUCUCAGCUGGGUAGAGGUGACUGACACGGUGACUCUUUCUCAGCUGGGUAGAGGUGACUGACACAGUGACUCUUUCUCAGCUGGGUAGAGGUGACUGACACGGUUACUCUUUCACAGCUGGGUAGAGGUGACUGACACAGUGACUCUUUCUCAGCUGGGUAGAGGUGACUGACACGGUGACUCUUUCUCAGCUGGGUAGAGGUGACUGACACGGUGACUCUUUCUCAGCUGGGUAGAGGUGAAUGAGUGGGGUGACUAUCUCAGCUAGGAAGAGGUGACUGACAGGGUGACUCUUUCUCAGCUAGGUAGAGGUGACUGAGUGGGGUGACUAUCUCAGCUAGGAAGAGGUGACUGACAGGGUGACUCUUUCUCAGCUAGGUAGAGGUGACUGAGUGGGGUGACUAUCUCAGCUAGGAAGAGGUGACUGACAGGGUGACUCUUUCUCAGCUAGGUAGAGGUGACUGAGUGGGGUGACUCUAUCUCAGCUAGGAAGAGGUGACUGAGUGGAGUGACUCUAGCUCAGCUGUUUAGAGGUGAUUUUAGCCAGUCCACUGGAUCGGGGGAUGGGCUAGAGAACAUGCUGAGCCUUACACAUCUCACAGUCAGAGGGGAAGACUGUUAAUGUAAUGCUUCUAGAAGACUGCUGUAGGCUGGAGUUAUUUCCAGUCAUGACAUAUGCAGCCACGUUAUGGGUAAAACAAUGUGAUUCACAAUGGCACUUGAGAAUACUUUUAAAACAAAUCCCCAAUUGAAGUGAUUCUCAGAUAAUUCCCUUUUACAGUAAUAGCACAGUAGUGGGUACAUCAAAUAUUGAACUUUUCUAAAUUGCAGCAUAAAUUGCGAGAACUUGUAGACAGACACAGAAGACAGGUCCUCAUCCUAGCUCUUCACAUGUGUAAUUCAAAGCAGCGAUCGGCAUUCUCUCCUUCAAUUUGCAAUCAACGCAGAGGACUGUGAAAUGUGAUCCAUUCAAAUGAGGCUAUUUGAAUCGGAAUAAUAUACAAGAUGGAGUGCAUUAUGAUAAUAGCUUUCAAUUACAGCCACAUAUCUACAUAUCUAUUUUCCUUAAGUUCUUAAAUGUUGUAGAGAAGAGUGUUAGACCUUGGAUGACACUCAGGACACAUAAGGCUGCAUACAUUUUUAAAUCACAUUCUCCCUAUAGACCUACAGUUAGCUACUCUACUGUGUUUGAGCUCAAUACCUGCUUCCAUCAAUAUCUAUCAAUUAUAACAUCUGCUGAGCACUCUGAAAUGAUAAAUACCUUUUAACCUAUCAAUGCACUGAUCAAUAAGCUCACAACUACCAUGCUAAUAUGGGUCAGAAUUUCAAUGUCUGCUAUUUUCAAUGAAGAGGAAUGAUAGUCUGGUCAAUACAGUUAGCAGUGAG